AGACAGAUUUAGAUCUAGGACGCGGACGUCAAAGACGACGUGAAAAUGACGUGUUGUGUCCAUGUAUGGAUAUGCCACGCCAUUUUGCCGACAUUUUCACGUCUUUGACGUCCGCAUCCUCGAUCUAAAACUGUCU
rnacentral:miRNA from 1 species